CUUUUAUAUCAUCAUUUAAGAGCCUAUCUGAAAUAUUGCAAGAUAGAGGACAAUGUGUACUGUCUUUUAAAGCUUUUCAUCAUUGAUAAAAAAAAAUUAUACAGUUACACAAUUCUAUUUUUUAAUUUGUCUUAAAAGCUAUUUAUACACAAAAUCAAUGUUUUAUUACAUGUCUAUAUGCUAAACAUACGUUAAUAUUUUAAAACAAAAAAAGUGAUGUGAUGUGGUUGUGAACUGUCUGUGGAAUCGAAGGAAAAGUAAUACAGCAGGAGGAAUAUUCUACAAAACACUAGAAGCAAACAUCACCAUUAACAGAAUAUAUGUUAUUGUUAAAGUACUUGCUAACAUGCUCAUAGUGUAUACACUAAAUGGUUUGUUUUAACUAAACCUCUCACCUCAUUAAUGAAAAAUACAACCCAGGACCUAUAAUAUGUUUACAUGGGUUAAAAUAUUUACAUUACAUGUAAAAGAUCAUGACAUCUACAAUACAUAAUAGUAAUAAUAUUCAAUAUUUCAAGGUUUAAUAAAAAAUAGAUACAAAUAUUUGAAAGCAAAGCUUGUGUGUAUGUUUUUAGUCAGCAAUUUACAAGCUGUAAUUAUAACAAUUUCUUAUAUGUGUGCAGUAACUAACCCGUAUUAUGUUUGCCUUUUUGCCUUGGUUAGAUGUUUUAAACAAACAAAAACCCCAACUAUUACCUACUGUGAGCUUUGCAAUUGCUGUUU